UAAACCCCAAAACUCUCUUCUCUCGUUUAAUUUGUACAAGGAUUAAAUUCAGUCUUCUCUGCCGUUUCCGGCUUACUUUCUCUCAAUUCCGAUCUUUUCAAAUUUCAACAUAAUUGGAUUCAAUUUUGUGAAUCAGGUAUGGCUUCAUGUUUGGAAGAGAAUCUGCUCGCAAAGAGCUGGGAAGACCUUCGCCGCCAGAAUCCCAAUUCCUGACUUCGUUGGGUUGAUGGCAUCAGGUGGGCAGUGUGGAAAUCCCUUCAUUUGUUAAAGCUAGAGAAAACAUUGUCUUAAGGCAUUACUGGAAAACUCCUUCGGCCAUAUUUGGCUGUUUUCAGGUCUUCUUACUUAUCCUUGACUGCAGAAUGUGCAUUCCUGAGGAGUUCAGAUAUUAAUUUUAAAACCUUUGUAAUAUGCUGACUUGCAUUGAAGAUACAGCUUUCUGCUGUGACAUAGUUGUUAUUCAUAGUUGCUGUGAAUGAAUUAGAUAAUGUAGUUGCAUGCUUAAUCUGUUUUUGAGUGUCAAAGUUGAUCUGAGAUGAUUGAUGGAUAAAUAUCGACUUAUAUUACAAUGACUGGAUUUUGCUGUUU